rnacentral:ncRNA from 2 species
CCUAAUACUUCACUCCGAGCCUACCUUCCUAAAGUUUUGUAAAAACCAUGGAGAGUAGGCCGAUAGGGUGCGGCGGGAAACGGUCGUGCCUCCCAUUGGAAAGGGGUGAUACAAGUCUGGUU